rnacentral:rRNA from 1 species
CCUACGGGUGGCAGCAGUGAGGAAUAUUGGUCAAUGGACGAGAGUCUGAUCCAGCCACGUAGCGUGAAGGAUGACUGCCCUAUGGUUUGUAAACUUCGUUUAUAUGGGAAUAAAAUGUUCCACGUUUGGGAUUUUGUAUGUACCAUAUGAAUAAGGAUCGGCUAACUCCGUGCCAGCAGCCGCGGUAAUACGGAGGAUCCGAGCGUUAUCCGGAAUUAUUGGGUGUAAAGGGAGCGUAGGUGGAUUGUUAAGUCAGUUGUGAAAGUUUGCGGCUCAACCGUAAGAUUGCAGUUGAAACUGGUAUUCUUGAGUAAAGUAGAGGUGGGCGGAAUUCGGGGUGUAGCGGUGAAAUGCUUAGAUA